rnacentral:rRNA from 1 species
UGGCCGCGGGAUUUGAUUAAGCCAUGCGAGUCGAACGAAUUUAGAUUCGUGGCGUACGGCUCAGUAACACGUGGAUAACCUACCCUUAGGACCGGGAUAACCUUGGGAAACUGAGGAUAAUACUGGAUAGGCAAUUAUUCCUGUAAUGGUUUUUUGUUUAAAUGUUUUUUCGCCUAAGGAUGGGUCUGCGGCCGAUUAGGUAGUUGGUUAGGUAAUGGCUUACCAAGCCGUUGAUCGGUACGGGUUGUGAGAGCAAGAGCCCGGAGAUGGAACCUGAGACAAGGUUCCAGGCCCUACGGGGUGCAGCAGGCGCGAAACCUCCGCAAUGUGAGAAAUCGCGACGGGGGGAUCCCAAGUGCCAUUCUUAACGGGAUGGCUUUUCAUUAGUGUAAAGAGCUUUUGGAAUAAGAGCUGGGCAAGACCGGUGCCAGCCGCCGCGGUAACACCGGCAGCUCUAGUGGUAACAAUUUUUAUUGGGCCUAAAGCGUCCGUAGCCGGUUUAAUAAGUCUCUGGUGAAAUCCUGUAGCUUAACUGUGGGAAUUGCUGGAGAUACUAUUAGACUUGAGACCGGGAGAGGUUAGAGGUACUCCCAGGGUAGAGGUGAAAUUCUGUAAUCCUGGGAGGACCGCCUGUUGCGAAGGCGUCUAACUGGAACGGUUCUGACGGUGAGGGACGAAAGUUAGGGGCGCGAACCGGAUUAGAUACCCGGGUAGUCCUAACUGUAAACGAUGCGGACUUGGUGUUGGGGGUGGCUUUGAGCUGCUUCAGUGCCGAAGGGAAGCUGUUAAGUCCGCCGCCUGGGAAGUACGGUCGCAAGACUGAAACUUAAAGGAAUUGGCGGGGGAGCAAAUCACUAGUGCGGCCGCCUGCAGGUCGAC